AAGGUAAAAUAGGAAACAGGAAGCAAAAUUCCAGAGCGGAGUUUUCCAAAAUAGAGCAGGUUCCUAAUUUCAUCUGCCUUGGCUGAUCUGCUCUUACAUGCACGACCACCGCGUGUUGAUUGCCAAUUAGUGGAAUGGGAACAGGUGUGUUGAUUGCCAAUUAGUGGAAUGGGAACAGGUGUGUUGAUUGCCAAUUAGUGGAGUGGGACCAGGUGUGUUGAUUGCCAAUUAGUGGAGUGGGAACAGGUGUGUUGAUUGCCAAUUAGUGGAGUGGGAACAGGUGUGUUGAUUGCCAAUUAGUGGAGUGGGAACAGGUGUGGUGAUUGACAAUUAGUGGAGUGGGAACAGGUGUGUUGAUUGACAAUUAGUGGAGUGGGAACAGGUGUGUUGAUUGACAAUAGACAAUAAGAUUACAAGUCCUACCUACGACAACCACUGCAUUUAAAAGCAAAGAGACAGUUUCUUUAUUUGAGAGUUUGUUUCUUGCUUAAACAGAGAGAAUUAAAAAAAAAAAAGGUUUCUAUUCAUUAAAAAAAAUAUAACAUUUUUUGUUUUGUUUGCUUGUAUAAUGUACAUAUCAAAUACAUUGUGUGUUGCCUCAGACCCCAGUCCAAGAUAUGGUAACACAAUCCCUCUCCACAACGCAUCCAAGAGCCCUCCUCCACUAUGGAGAACAGAAUAUCACACAUUCACGUUAUAUCUGCUAUUUCCAAGUUGUGUUCCUGAAUCGUAAGCUGCCAUAGCAACUGCUAUUUGGGGAAACAGUUGUAGUAUUACUUCAUAGUCAUUUGAUUUGAG
ensembl:lncRNA